UCACCUGAAGAAAAACAUAUUUGUUAACACUGAAAGUAGAUACCGUCUGGGGGAGGAUAUCCAAAAUGGGAGACAAGGCAGUAACAUCUUAAACACACCAACAAAAAGUGCAGUAGAGUGGGUAUCGAUUUGUAAAAAGCAUUACGGCAGGUAUCCUGGAAACCACAGAAAUUAUCCUGACAAGAUCACAGACAAACACAUAAAACUCCUGCAAGCUUUAUGUAAAAGUUCAUCCUUUAUAGAAGUUAUAUCACACAGAGAAUGAACAGACGGGUCAAUACACAUUUGAUGGCCAACAAACCAGACUACAUUCGUGAAAUAUGACUUAAUUGAAAGGAAUAUCUAAGUUUUUCAUCGAUUUUAUGUCUGUGAAGUGAGUGUAAUAACGGUUUGUCAGUAGGAAUUACAUAAUGCCAUUAGAACGAUAACAAUAUAACCCGAGGACAAACCAACUACAGCUUCUAUCAAAAGUAGUAGAGAGAAAUUAACAA